rnacentral:lncRNA from 1 species
CAUUUCUGUCCCCUAAAAUAUGUUAUCACUAUCCGACCAAAUAAAACCGUCCAAAUGAUACUGGUAAAUAUUAUUGAACAGUCGCACAAGAGUUUGUAUAAUGUCACUAUACAAAUCCUUGAGUCGCAGUACUGAAAAAAAAUUUCAACACAUCGGGGUUCAGCUGAACAUUUGUAUAUACCAACAAAUGAUCUUACCCUGGAUUUAGAGCGAAAC